rnacentral:siRNA from 1 species
GAUGGUCGCUUGGGUCACCGUCCA